rnacentral:rRNA from 1 species
CCCUUAGAUGUUCUGGGCCGCACGCGCGCUACACUGAUGCAUUCAACGAGUCUAAAACCUGCUCUGAUAGGGGUGGGUAAUCUUUUGAAUGUGCAUCGUGAUUGGGAUAGAUGAUUGCAAUUUUUCAUCUUCAACGAGGAAUGCCUAGUAAACGCAAGUCAUCAGCUUGCAUUGAUUACGUCCCUGCCCUUUGUACACACCGCCCGUCGCUACUACCGAUUGGGAAAAUUUUAGAGAGUCCUGGACUGAUGAUUGUUCGGCUUCACGGCCUUACUUUCGUCGGGAAAGAAUUCGAUAAUAUUUUUCUAGAGGAAGUAAAAGUCGUAACA